GGUCUUAUAUUCAAUUAUGAAUAUAGAAUGCAAUUCUAUAAAAAUAGAUAAUCCUAUUAAGACUU
rnacentral:tRNA from 1 species